CAAUGAUAUAAUGAGAAUAAUGUGCACCUUAAUUACGGGUAAAGGUACGGACAUCGACGAAAAUAUUGCUAACCAAAAUCAUGCUAUACCCGUACACGUACACGUACACCGAAACCGGGGUAUCUUAACCUCUCUAUUAUAGAACUGAAAAUACACGAUUAUAACUAGAAAACACUUGAUAUGUGAUUUACAAGUAUAAACUGGCCGUUGAGAAAGAUCGUGACCCUAUUUUUACGACCAUAUAGAAACUCCAGACUUUAUAUACGUGGGAUUUUACUGUAAGGGAUACAAAAUGCUGCUGAUUGAACUUGACAACAUUUGAUGUUUUUGUAAUUUUAUGUUCUGUAUCGUUCAACGAGUGUUAGAGGGAUUUAGAGUAAAAAUAUAUAUCAAAAUAAAGCAAAUCUGAGUGUAGCUUACUAAAUGC